UUCUUUUCUGUAGCAGGUUGUCUUUUCAUUUUGUUGAUGGGUUCCUUUGCUGUGCAAAAGCUUUUAAGUUUGAUUAGGUCCCAUUUGUUUAUUUUUGCUUUUAUUUCUUUUGCUUUGGGAGACUGAUCCAAGAAUAUAUUGCCAUAAUUUAUGUUGGAAAACGUUUUGCCUAUGUUAUCUUCAUGGAGUUUCAAUGGUCUCAUGCCUUAGAUUUCAUUAUUUUUAUAUUUGGCUUCCAAAUGCACGAUCUGACCACUGGAGCCGUUGGUGAGUGGAAGAAAGGAGGUUGAGGGGCCUGGGCCUCCCAUCCUCCAGGAAAUCUUGUCACAACACAAGUCUACAGAAAAGGCACUGUCCUGCUUGGUCAUCCAUUCUCCCUGCCUUGCUCUCUUCUGACCAACACUGAGACUGUACAGAGUGCACAAAGAUGCCCAGGACAAUGAGGGAGUACGAGUGAUGGAAGCAGGGAGGCAAGGGAAGGAGCAAAGAGCCAAUAUUUCCAUUCUGUCCUCAUCAAGCUCUGAGUGGCUGACACUCAGGUACGUUAGCUCAUCUGUCUGCUCAUUCAGCCUUUGAGUGUGUCCUGGGGGCUGGGUGGUUCUCUGCCUGCCUGCCUCCACGGAUAGACAAGGAGGACACCUCCUGGGGCAGGCAUCCUUUCCUGCCAAGGGAUGCAGUCUUCCUUCCUUUAGGGGCCAGUGUGCCCGUCACAGCUCCAUUUCACUCCCGAGGCCAGGAGCCCCCAGCUGGAGGGCCUGGCAUGGAUGAGGGGAGGCCCCACCCCUUGUCCCCUGCUCAGCCAGACUUCCUCUGACCUCUGCAGGUGGGAAAGCUGCUUACGUCGACUCUCUUCUACUUCCUGAAGCUGCGGUCCUCCUCUUCCUGUAGGAAGGCCUACUGGGCAGGUCAUCUGUGUACACGCCAGACCACAACUGCGUCAGCUGAGGUGAGACCUACCCAUCCUGCAUAACUCACGGGAGGUAAAGGCAGGUCUAUACGUGUGCAGGCUGCAGGGCAGGCAUCCAGGGUGAAGGGGAGAGGACCAGGAUUCACUCACUCAGUGCCAGGCACAGACUCCAGUGCCGUCCCCAUUUGCACUCAGAAGGCCACCUGACAGGAUGUCUGAGAUCUCCACCUCCCUUCUGACUUUUCUCCUCUAGUCCCACAGCCAAGGGUCUCUCUUCUUCCUCCAUGUUUCAGGCUUUAUCUCACCCACCAGUAUAUAACCGGGGCCCCUUUUCUAUUCCAACCCAACCCCAACAUUAUACUUUUUGACAGAGCUUGCCCUCGCAGAGUGCUUCAGUUCCCUUGCACAUCCUCCCAGUUCACCUGUGGACUGGGAGGUCUGAAGGGACGAGGGACGGAAGGCCCCCCUAGUGAUGCUCCCUCUGCCCUGGCUCUGGGAGGGGACAGCGUGUGGUCUUACUAGUCCUAAGACCCCAGAGGACAGGGACUCAAAGGAUUCUCCAGAACGGUGCUCGCCAACCCCAGCCUGGACCACAAAGUCUUCCCUAAAGAACAGCCACAAACUCGACUUGAGUGUCAUCUCCCCGAGCUUUCGUUUCCUAAUUUGUAAAAGGACAGACCAGAAGCAGAUGAUUAAGAAACCCUGCUUAGGUCACCUUAGAUUUGAUUGUCAGUCAACAAAUAGACAUUUCCACAAGUACUUUCUGUGUGCUGGGGUACAAGGCCUUUGAUUCCAUGAACAAUUUACACUUGUAUAGUUCUUUUAAUUUUUAAAGCCCUUUCUAUCCAUUCUUCUCCUGACUGCAGCCCAAAGAGAACAGGUAUUAAUUCUCUCUUCACUUUACAGCUUCAAUGGGAGGACCGUGGUUCUGAUCUCCAGAGUUCCACGUGCCUGUCCAGCCCUGUGACACCAUUCCCAGAGUUUCUAUACUUGGUGGAAAUGGGCAAAGGUAGUCAAUGUUAGUUUUCUGGUACCCAGCCAGGGGCCCUGAUUUCCUCAGGCCCAGGGGCAGGACUGGUUCUGAGGGUUGGGGUGACUCUAGCUGCACCCCCGCUCCCCACUACACUCCCUGCUUCAACUGCCACCUCGUUUCUACCAUCGGGCACCACCACGUUGCAGGGGGGCCAGCAAAGCCACUAGCACUUCAAACAGCACGCUCAGGCUUUGCUUCAGGGUUAAGCCGCCGGCCUUAUACCAGUGAUUUGUUUACACCAUCCGUGCUUUCCUUUCAAAUGUAAGAGUCCUCGCCACAUAGGUGAGGUCACUGUAGAAAUCAAGUCCAGAGACACCGUCUUCCCCCGCCCAUCACCAGAACACCCGAUGGGGUCUAGAGGUGCUGCUUUGAGGCCGCCUGGGGCAGCGAGGUACUGCGCCAUAGGGUCAGUCUGGCUGGCCCUCAGGCUCCAGACAGACCACCCAGGCCUGUUGGGCCCCACUGGGUCUCACAGGCUGGGCCCACAUCAGAGUCAAUGGAACUGGAGGCCCUGUCCUUGCCUCCUGUCACCACUGUGUGUCCUCCUCCCCAAGGGGCUCAGAGGCUCCUCCAGGGCCAGCAGGGUCUCUGCAUCCCGUACCAGAGUAGGCCCGGUGGGGGCAGCGUCUCCCCAGACCCUGCCCACACUCUGCCCUCACUGGGACCCUCUGGCCUCGGACAGGGCACAGAGGCCCGGGUAAUGGGGGGAAGGGCAGGCGGUGGGUUAGAGGAGGGCAGUGCUGGCGGGCCAAUGACUAAAAUACUACAACGGCUGCCUAGAGAUGGCAGGGGCACCUGGGUCACGUUAGGAAAUCCUGCCACCGGUGAGGGUGAGGUUUUCUAUGCCGAGAACUGGCGGAAAAGUCAGCGUCUGGGCACCUUGGGCCAAGUUGGGGAAAGGCUGGCCACAGCCAUUGCCAGGAGGCAGGAGUGGGCUCGGCUGAGGAGGAGGAAGGAACCAGGCAGCGUGGAGGGAAGAAGCCAUGCACAAAGGCAAAGGAUCCCUG